rnacentral:ncRNA from 1 species
GAGAGCCGUAUGCAUAGAAAUGUGCAUGUACGGUUCGGUGGGGGGACAACGGCUAACCCUAUCGGCAAAAAUGUUUGAAUAGGGCGCACGUGUUCUACCCAAU